rnacentral:rRNA from 1 species
AGAGUUUGAUCCUGGCUCAGGAUGAACGCUGGCGGCGUGCUUAACACAUGCAAGUCACGGGGGCCAGCAAUGGCAACCGGCGAACGGGUGCGUAACACGUGAGCAACCUACCGAAAUGAGGGGGAUAGCCGUCCCAACGGACGGGUAAUACCGCAUACGCUAGAGACCAGGCAUUUGGACUCUAGGAAACCUCCGGGGCAUUUCGAGGGGCUCGCGGCCUAUCAGCUAGUUGGUGAGGUAACGGCUCACCAAGGCGACGACGGGUAGCUGGUCUGAGAGGAUGGCCAGCCACAUUGGGACUGAGAUACGGCCCAGACUCCUACGGGAGGCAGCAGUGGGGAAUCUUGCGCAAUGGCCUAACGGCUGACGCAGCGACGCCGCGUGAGGGAUGACGCUCUUCGGAGUGUAAACCUCUUUUGCCUGAGACGAAUUGUCAGCUUUAGCUGAUUUGACUGUAUCGGGUGAAUAAGCACCGGCUAACUCCGUGCCAGCAGCCGCGGUAAUACGGGGGGUGCGAGCGUUGUCCGGAAUCACUGGGCGUAAAGGGCGCGUAGGUGGCCUGAUAAGGGUGUGGUGAAAGUCCGGGGCUCAACCCCGGAUCUGCCGUGCCGACUGUUAGGCUAGAGUACUGUAGGGGCAGGCGGAAUUCCGGGUGUAGCGGUGGAAUGCGUAGAGAUCCGGANGAAGACCGGUGGCGAAGGCGGCCUGCUGGGC